rnacentral:ribozyme from 1 species
CUCUUCUCAAGAUGAAAAUAACAGAGGGACAAAGAUUGAAAAGCGAGAAGAGGAGUGGGCAGAAGGAAGGAACGAAACACGGAGAAAAAUUUUAGGAAAAAAAGGAGGCAUGCUGCACCUUUCAUCCCCGCUGAGAUCGCACUGAUAUCAUAUCGAGCAACAAACACAAGGAAAGAAGAAGGGCUGUC